AUUGAACGCUGGCGGCAGGCCUAACACAUGCAAGUCGAACGAGUGGCGGACGGGUGAGUAAUGUCUGGGAAACUGCCUGAUGGAGGGGGAUGACUACUGGAAACGGUAGCUAAUUCCGCAUACAAUCGGAUGGGCCCAGACUGGCUUAGCUAGUAGGUGGGGGAAAGGUUCAAUUAGGCGACGAGCCCUAGCUGGUCUGAGAGGAUGACCAGGCACACUGGAACUGAGACACGGUCCAAAGUCCUACGGGAGGCAGCAGUGGGGAAUAUUGCACAAUGGGCGCAAGCCUGAUGCAGCCAUGCCGCGUGUAUGAAGAAGGCCUGCGGGUUGUAAAGUACUUUCAGCGGUGAGGCGUUACCCGCAGAAGAAGCACCGGCUAACUCCGUGCCAGCAGCCGCGGUAAUAC
rnacentral:rRNA from 1 species